AAGUCAGCUACGAUCGGCUACGCCACGUUCCGUGACCCUCGUGAGGUCGAGAGGAUAGAUGAUCGGAUGAAUCGGCAAGGGUUUAUUAUACUGUGUCGACUACAAACAAAAGGAAAUUCAAGCAGUGAGAUGAGCCGUAUGAAAAACAGCGUGGGCCUCAGUGGACGACCCGACCGCCGGCGUGAGACGACCAGCGCUGCUCAGCGACCCGAGCAGCAAAGUGGCAAAGCGGCGGAGCAGACGGCGGCGCCGGCGCGGCCCGAUCAAACAGCUUGAGGACUAAAAGGCCAAGACGCGGGACACAAAUUGACUCGGGGUGCGAGGGAGACCACCGCUCUCCCCAGUCGGCUAACCUUCACAGUUUAUAGACUGGCAGGCGUUUUUUUGGAGGUAUGCCACAGUCAUUAAAAAUUCAGUCACCGUUCACAUACAUUGAUAGUCCGUGUGAGAUCGUCGCCUCAUAAGGCAAGGGUUGGGCUCACCUUUGCAGAGGUAGCAAGAGUACUCAGAAUCUGUACUUCAGUAGAAGUAAGUCCACAUAUACUUGUGU